rnacentral:rRNA from 1 species
UACGUAGGGUGCGAGCGUUAAUCGGAAUUACUGGGCGUAAAGCGUGCGCAGGCGGUUAUGUAAGACAGUUGUGAAAUCCCCGGGCUCAACCUGGGAACUGCGUUUGUGACUGUAUGACUAGAGUACGGUAGAGAGGGGUGGAAUUCCUGGUGUAGCAGUGAAAUGCGUAGAUAUCAGGAGGAACAUCGAUGGCGAAGGCAGCCCCUUGGACCUGUACUGACGCUCAUGCACGAAAGCGUGGGGAGCAAACAGG